CUAGGCUCAUGCCUGCUUUGGUCAGUAGAAUACAGCUGAAGUGAUGUUGUACCAGUUUUGCGUCUGGUCUUUACAAGCACUGGUAGCUUCAACUUUCUCCUUCUUGGUACUCACCCACCAUGUUGUAAGGAAACCCAAACAGCCACGUGGAAGACAGUUCUAGUUGAGCUCCCAGCCCAGAGCCUAUCCCAACUCUCCAGCCAUACCCUGACUUCCUUCAGCAAAGAGACAGCUUCUGAUUCAUGUUCGUCUCACCAUAAUCAGUCCUUGAAGGCUCACCUAUCCUCGUGGCUGCAGCCAUUUCCCUCUCUGCAGAUACUUCCAAAAGUUACACUAGAUGUUAACUGAGCACUAAGGACACUACGUGAAAGACUGGAGUACAAACAUCCAAAGGACUGAAGAAUUUGAAGAGCACUGAAUGUGGGAGAUAGGACAGAGGAAAGGAGUCAAAUGUCUCCAAGAAACGAAGCCUGUGUGCCCUGGAGAAUGAAGAAGCAUCAUCAAAUCGGGGAGACUGAAGGAGGAAUCGGUUUUCAGAGAAAAACAAUUUAUAUUGUCUUAGCUGUGUUAGGUGGCAUACUAUUACAUUCAAGUGAAGCUGUGUAAUAGACAGAGAUGACAAAUUUUAUUCAUUUAUGAAUGCCCCCCAAAAUAUAUAUAUAGUUUUUGCCCUCAUGUCUCUUAUUGGGAUGACAGACAUAAAUCAAAGAAUUCCAUAAAUAAAUAUUAAAAUACAAUUUGUGAUAAAUGCUACAAAGUGGUACAUAUUCAUAUGGAAGCAUAAAGAGAACUGACCCGCUUGAGGAAGCUGGCAGUGAGAGCUGAAGGUAAGAGCAAGAGUUGACUAGGAGACAAGAUGGGGAAAGUUCUAGGCAGAAGGAACAGCAUGUUCCAAAGCCAACAGCAUAGAGACAGAAAGUAGAUUAGUGAGUGCCAGGGGGUGGUGGGGAGCAGAGAAGAAGAAGGGGUGUCUGCUCUUGGGUAUGGAGUUUCUCUUUGAGGCAAUGAAAAUGCUCUGGAAUGAGAUAGUGGUAACAGUUGCACAACUUUGUGAACAUACUAAAAUCCACUGAAUUGCAUACUUUAAAGGGGUAAAUUGUGUGGUAAGCGAAUUAUAUUUCAAUUUUUAGAGAUAAAGAUAAAUGCAAGUUAACAAUAACCAGGAAAAA
rnacentral:lncRNA from 1 species